CUGGACUUUAUAUUGCGAUAGGCAACUUUCAUAAAUUAGGUGCGUUAACGCCACGGACCUCGUUCAUCUUUCAGUCGCCCACAUGGGUAUAACCAAUGAGGAGAUGGGACGUGGGUACCUGCUUCUAUAAACCAAUGAGGAGAUGGGAGAGGCAGGACUUGUAGCGUGAUCUGCGUCACAAAUAGAAAUGACGUCUAUUUUAGCGCUUGGCAAAGGCAGACACUCGCGAGCAGUGUGGGUGCAAUAAUUGAAUAAUAUAGAUUUCUAAAUUUAUUUUACGACGUGAGCGGUGCACUCGGCCUGUCAGUUCUAUUUGUGACGCAGAUCGCGCUGCAAUUCCUGCCUCUCCCAUCUCCUCAUUGGUUGGACCAGUAACUGAAAGUUUGCAAGGUCGAAUCCCGGAGCUGACAAGGUGGUGCCAGCACAUGUGAAGAUCAAGAGGAGAGCAGCGACGAGGUGUUCAUCCACCAGGGCCUGCCCAGCCCUGGUGGAUGUCACUCAUUCAUGUGAGGUCAGCAAGAUCAGCUGUGGGUCCCGCCAUACUGCGGCAGUCACAAGUAAGAGCCCUUCACAUAAGCGUCCUCAAACUGCUAAUUUAGAAAUGUAUCAAGUUUUUUUCCAUUUCUUUUUCUGGUACGGGUGAUCUCUACACUUGCGGCUGGGGUAAGCUUAAAAACUUAUUCAUGAUUAGAAAAUGUCACCUGUUGUAGGUGGCUUCGAGUAGGCCUAUGUAUUGCAUAAAGUCAUUAUGAACUCCAAAGUGCAAUACAUAUCCAGGAAUGGAAAGACCUGGCCUUUCCUCAUAACCACGGCUACAAGCUCUGCUUGUAUCACUGUUUCAGGUGAAUAUAGCCAGCUGGGACAGGGGACUGUG
rnacentral:lncRNA from 1 species